rnacentral:rRNA from 1 species
ACGGGUGAGUAACGCGUGGGAACGUGCCUUCUGGUUCGGAAUAACUCAGGGAAACUUGAGCUAAUACCGGAUACGCCCUUAUGGGGAAAGGUUUACUGCCGGAAGAUCGGCCCGCGUCUGAUUAGCUAGUUGGUGGGGUAACGGCCUACCAAGGCGACGAUCAGUAGCUGGUCUGAGAGGAUGAUCAGCCACACUGGGACUGAGACACGGCCCAGACUCCUACGGGAGGCAGCAGUGGGGAAUAUUGGACAAUGGGCGCAAGCCUGAUCCAGCCAUGCCGCGUGAGUGAUGAAGGCCUUAGGGUUGUAAAGCUCUUUUAUCCGGGACGAUAAUGACGGUACCGGAGGAAUAAGCCCCGGCUAACUUCGUGCCAGCAGCCGCGGUAAUACGAAGGGGGCUAGCGUUGCUCGGAAUCACUGGGCGUAAAGGGCGCGUAGGCGGUCUUUUAAGUCGGGGGUGAAAGCCUGUGGCUCAACCACAGAAUUGCCUUCGAUACUGGGAGACUUGAGUUCGGAAGAGGUUGGUGGAACUGCGAGU